rnacentral:rRNA from 1 species
GGUUAAGCGACUAAGCGUACACGGUGGAUGCCCUCGGCAGUCAGAGGCGAUGAAGGACGUGCUAAUCUGCGAAAAGCGUCGGUAAGGUGAUAUGAACCGUUACAGCCGGCGAUGUCCGAAUGGGGAAACCCAGUGCAAUUCGUUGCACUAUCGUUAACUGAAUACAUAGGUUAACGAGGCGAACCGGGGAACUGAAACAUCUAAGUACCCCGAGGAAAAGAAAUCAACCGAGAUUCCCCAGUAGCGGCGAGCGAACGGGGAGCAGCCCAGAGUCUGAAUCAGCUUGUGUGUUAGUGGAACGGUCUGGAAAGUCCGACGGUACAGGGUGAUAGUCCCGUACACCAAAAUGCACAGGUUGUGAACUCGAAGAGUAGGGCGGGACACGUGGUAUCCUGUCUGAAUAUGGGGGACCAUCCUCCAAGGCUAAAUACUCCUGACUGACCGAUAGUGAACCAGUACCGUGAGGGAAAGGCGAAAAGAACCCCGGCGAGGGGAGUGAAAAAGAACCUGAAACCGUGUACGUACAAGCAGUGGGAGCACCUUCGGGUGUGACUGCGUACCUUUGUAUAAUGGGUCAGCGACUUAUAUUCUGUAGCAAGGUUAACCGUAUAGGGGAGCCGCAGGAAACCGAGUCUUAACUGGGCGUUAAGUUGCAGGGUAUAGACCCGAAACCCGGUGAUCUAGCCAUGGGCAGGUUGAAGGUUGGGUAACACUAACUGGAGGACCGAACCGACUAAUGUUGAAAAAUUAGCGGAUGACUUGUGGCUGGGGGUGAAAGGCCAAUCAAACCGGGAGAUAGCUGGUUCUCCCCGAAAGCUAUUUAGGUAGCGCCUCGUGAACUCAUCUUCGGGGUAGAGCACUGUUUCGGCUAGGGGUCAUCCCGACUUACCAACCCGAUGCAAACUACGAAUACCGAAGAAUGUUAUCACGGGAGACACACGGCGGGUGCUAACGUCCGUCGUGAAGAGGAAACAACCCAGACCGCCAGCUAAGGUCCCAAAGUCAUGGUUAAGUGGGAAACGAUGUGGGAAGGCACAGACAGCCGGGAUGUUGGCUUAGAAGCAGCCAUCAUUUAAAGAAAGCGUAAUAGCUCACUGGUCGAGUCGGCCUGCGCGGAAGAUGUAACGGGGCUAAACCAUGCACCGAAGCUGCGGCAGCGACACUAUGUGUUGUUGGGUAGGGGAGCGUUCUGUAAGCCUGCGAAGGUGUGCUGUGAGGCAUGCUGGAGGUAUCAGAAGUGCGAAUGCUGACAUAAGUAACGAUAAAGCGGGUGAAAAGCCCGCUCGCCGGAAGACCAAGGGUUCCUGUCCAACGUUAAUCGGGGCAGGGUGAGUCGACCCCUAAGGCGAGGCCGAAAGGCGUAGUCGAUGGGAAACAGGUUAAUAUUCCUGUACUUGGUGUUACUGCGAAGGGGGACGGAGAAGGCUAUGUUAGCCGGGCGACGGUUGUCCCGGUUUAAGCAUGUAGGCUGGUUAUCCAGGCAAAUCCGGAUAAUCAAGGCUGAGGUGUGAUGACGAGGCACUACGGUGCUGAAGUAACAAAUGCCCUGCUUCCGAGGAAAAGCCUCUAAGCAUCAGGUAACAUCAAAUCGUACCCCAAACCGACACAGGUGGUCAGGUAGAGAAUACCAAGGCGCUUGAGAGAACUCGGGUGAAGGAACUAGGCAAAAUGGUGCCGUAACUUCGGGAGAAGGCACGCUGGUGUGUAGGUGAAGUCCCUGCGGAUGGAGCUGAGACCAGUCGAAGAUACCAGCUGGCUGCAACUGUUUAUUAAAAACACAGCACUGUGCAAACACGAAAGUGGACGUAUACGGUGUGACGCCUGCCCGGUGCCGGAAGGUUAAUUGAUGGGGUUAUCCGUAAGGAGAAGCUCUUGAUCGAAGCCCCGGUAAACGGCGGCCGUAACUAUAACGGUCCUAAGGUAGCGAAAUUCCUUGUCGGGUAAGUUCCGACCUGCACGAAUGGCGUAAUGAUGGCCGGGCUGUCUCCACCCGAGACUCAGUGAAAUUGAACUCGCUGUGAAGAUGCAGUGUACCCGCGGCAAGACGGAAAGACCCCGUGAACCUUUACUAUAGCUUGACACUGAACAUUGAGCCUUGAUGUGUAGGAUAGGUGGGAGGCUUUGAAGCGUGGACGCCAGUCUGCGUGGAGCCAACCUUGAAAUACCACCCUUUAAUGUUUGAUGUUCUAACGUUGGCCCCUGACCGGGGUUGCGGACAGUGUCUGGUGGGUAGUUUGACUGGGGCGGUCUCCUCCCAAAGCGUAACGGAGGAGCACGAAGGUUAGCUAAUCCCCGGUCGGACAUCAGGAGGUUAGUGCAAUGGCAUAAGCUAGCUUGACUGCGAGCGUGACGGCGCGAGCAGGUGCGAAAGCAGGUCAUAGUGAUCCGGUGGUUCUGAAUGGAAGGGCCAUCGCUCAACGGAUAAAAGGUACUCCGGGGAUAACAGGCUGAUACCGCCCAAGAGUUCAUAUCGACGGCGGUGUUUGGCACCUCGAUGUCGGCUCAUCACAUCCUCGGGGCUGAAGUAGGUCCCAAGGGUAUGGCUGUUCGCCAUUUAAAGUGGUACGCGAGCUGGGUUUAGAACGUCGUGAGACAGUUCGGUCCCUAUCUGCCGUGGGCGCUGGAGAAUUGAGGGGGCUGCUCCUAGUACGAGAGGACCGGAGUGGACGCAUCACUGGUGUUCGGGUUGUCAUGCCAAUGGCACUGCCCGGUAGCUAAAUGCGGAAGAGAUAAGUGCUGAAAGCAUCUAAGCACGAAACUUGCCCCGAGAUGAGUUCUCCCUGAGACUAUAAGUCUCCUGAAGGAACGUUAAAGACGAUGACGUUGAUAGGCCGGGUGUGUAAGCGCAGCGAUGCGUUGAGCUAACCGGUACUAAUGAACCGUGAGGCUUAACCUU